ACUCCUGCGGGAGGCAGCAGUGGGGAAUUUUACGCAAUGGGGGAAACCCUGACGUAGCGACACCGCGUGAGCGAAGAAGCCCUUUGGGGUGUAAAGCUCUGUCAGCUGGAACGAAAACAAUGACGGUACCAGCAGAGGAAGCAUCGGCUAACUACGUGCCAGCAGCCGCGGUAAGACGUAGGAUGCGAGCGUUGUCCGGAUUUAUUGGGCGUAAAGAGUUCGUAGGUGGUUUGUUAAGUUUGGUGUUAAAGAUCGGGGCUCAACCCUGGGACUGCACUGAAUACUGGCAGACUCGAGUGUGGUAGAGGCUAGUGGAAUUCCCAGUGUAGCGGUGAAAUGCGUAGAUAUUGGGAAGAACACCGGUGGCGUAGGCGACUAGCUGGGCCAUAACUGACGCUGAGGAACGAAAGCCAGGGGAGCGAAUGGGAUUAGAAACCCUGGUAGUCCCA
rnacentral:rRNA from 1 species